CGUGUAGGCGGUUUCGUAAGUCGGAUGUGAAAGCUCCUGGCUCAACUAGGAGAGGCCAUUCGAUACUGCGGGACUUGAGGACGGGAGAGGGACGUGGAAUUCCCGGUGUAGUGGUGGAAUGCGUAGAUAUCGGGAGGAACACCAGUGGCGAAGGCGACGUCCUGGCCCGCACCUGACGCUAAGACGCGAAAGCGUGGGUAGCGAACG
rnacentral:rRNA from 1 species